rnacentral:rRNA from 1 species
AGUGAACGCUGGCGGUAGGCCUAACACAUGCAAGUCGAACGGCAGCACAGUAAGAGCUUGCUCUUACGGGUGGCGAGUGGCGGACGGGUGAGGAAUACAUCGGAAUCUACUUUUUCGUGGGGGACAACGUAGGGAAACUUACGCUAAUACCGCAUACGACCUACGGGUGAAAGCAGGGGAUCUUCGGACCUUGCGCGAUUGAAUGAGCCGAUGCCGGAUUAGCUAGUUGGCGGGGUAAAGGCCCACCAAGGCGACGAUCCGUAGCUGGUCUGAGAGGAUGAUCAGCCACACUGGAACUGAGACACGGUCCAGACUCCUACGGGAGGCAGCAGUGGGGAAUAUUGGACAAUGGGCGCAAGCCUGAUCCAGCCAUACCGCGUGGGUGAAGAAGGCCUUCGGGUUGUAAAGCCCUUUUGUUGGGAAAGAAAAGCAGCAGGUUAAUACCCCGCUGUUCUGACGGUACCCAAAGAAUAAGCACCGGCUAACUUCGUG